rnacentral:rRNA from 1 species
AGACGAGAGGGGCGAGCGUUAUCCGGAAUAACUGGGCGUAAAGGGUCCGUAGGUUGUAGCUUGUAUGCUUUUAGUAAAAGACAAAAAUUUAAUUUUUGAAAUGCUUUAAGGACAGAUCUACUAGAGUUUAGCAGAGGAUAAUAGAAUUCCAUGUGGAGGGGUGGAAUCCUAAGAUAUAUGGAGGAAUGCCAGUAGCGAAAGCGAUUAUCUGGGCUAUUACUGACACUGAGGGACGAAAGCGUAGGUAGCAAACAGGAUUAGAUACCCUGGUAGUCUACGCUGUCAAUGCUGAGUGCUAAUAUUUGGAAUAAUAUUUUAGAUAUACAGUUAACACGUUAAGCACUCCGCCUGAGGAGUACGGCCGCAAGGCUAAA